UCAUGCCGAAAUGCAAUGGUGUUGGUAAUAAAGGUGGUGUGGGUGACAGAUUCAGGGGUUUGGUGCAGAUGCGGGUGACGGGAGACGGAACAGUAGGUUUAAUCAUGGGUCACUCUCUUAGUAGUGGGUAACUUACGUAUACAUCAUUUGCAUUAUAUAUUUGAGUGUCUGAAUGUAUUCAUCAUUGUCAAGGGCACAUAUCAAUAUCAUUCCACCCCGCUGUGCCCUUGACAAUGAUGAAUACAUUCAGACGUUGUUAUUGCCCUUGACAAUGAUGAAUACAUUCAGACGUUGUUAUUAUGUGUGGAACUAGAGUGCAUGGUCAAGUGGAUAUGGCUUUAUAAUUGUCUUUUAUUUCUUAUUUUAUUUUAGUCUUUGAAUAAUUCCUUGUUAGUUAGUGGAGUUCUAGAGUCAAGAGUAGGGUUGUUACUUAGUGCAUAUUUUUAGGAAUCAUGGGUCACUCUCUUAGUAGUGGGUAACUUACGUAUACAUCAUUUGCAUUAUAUAUUUGAGUUUGUACUUCAUUUUUAGAUAUGAAUGAAAAUUAGUCUAAAUAUCUCUCUAAAAUUCUUUCUAGUUUUCUAUCUAUUUUCUGGCCAUUCGGUUGUACCGAUUGGAACCACAACAGUGGUAUCAGAGCCGUCGUGAUCCCCCUGACCAUGGUUGCUCACACUCUAUCCGAAACCGAGUUCUACCAAUGGAUGAACGAAUCCCUUGCGAAGCUCGAGUCUCAGUUGCAAACCUUUCUCAACGAGUUCCGAUUGAUUCGAACCGCAUGGGAAGCGCCCCAAACCCAUAUCCAAUCACCAACCGCUUUCGUUUCCGAACCAUUACCUGCAUCAACAACCACAAAAUCCACCCACUCCGUCCAACCUUCCGUGACAACAGUCGUGAAACCAUCCCCAAAAAACGUAUCAGCCCUUAAACGGGUGCCCGCAGCCACACCGUCAACAACUACAACACCGUCUCCACCAACCCCUGCACGGCUGCACCUCCUUCCACUGUCCUAAAACCCGUACUAACACCAGCUCAUGUUUCUAUGGAGUCAUGUCAAGAAGUUAAACUCAUGAUCAGUUUCUCAAAAGCACAUGAUGUGUCUUCGGAGUUAUGCUCAGAUCAUGUGGGUGUGCUCACUUCCCCAAAUCUCCAAGUACCCACUAUGUGGGAAGUGAUGGAGUUGUUGAAAAAAUCUUACAAUACAUUUGGAACAAUUUACCCCUGGGUUCUUGCUAAAGUUGCUAAUAGGCAUGAGGUUAUUCCUGGUCAUGAUUUCCAUGCUAUAUAUAAAGAGGCAGCCUCAAAACGUGAGUGGCGUCCACCGUGGGGACUCGUUACUACUACUCCAAAUGCUACGGUACAAAGCAAGUGGCAACCGUCGGGACAACUCCAAGUGCUUUUUUCGAUUUCACCUUGAGGACAAGGUGAAUUUGAGCGGGGUGGAAUGUUAUGUACCGAUUAAAUGCACUUUUGAAGGCCACGAUCUAAAUUUAGCUUAGCAAUUUAACUCUAUUGUUUAUGCAUGUUUUCCAUAAUUUCAAAUCAUUCCCAUGUUUUCCAUUUUUUAUUCCUAGUUUUUAGCAAGUAGUUAUCUUCAUCUAGUAUUUGUACGUUGUUUUGAAUUAACAAAGAUAUGAAUGAAAAAUAUUGAUCUAAGUUUCUCUCUAAUUUCUAUCCGGUUUCCGUCUUGUUUCUUUGGCCAAUCGAUUAUCGGUUGGAACCACAACACCCAUCAGUUCUCAGUCGCCGCCAACAUGUUCUUUGAUCUAUAAUCUGAUCAAUAAGGUAAGAUUUAUUUGUUAUUAUUCAUGUUUCAGAGUUUUAUAAUCUUGAUUUACCAAUCCUUUUUUCAUCAAUUAAAGCCUCUCUUAACUCAUGAAUGAAUAAUGGUUGUUUACCUGGUAUUGUUAAAGCUGACUUAUCGGAAGUGUUAUUUGUGUGUUGAAUUGUGUUAUUCAAGCUCGAAGAAGUUAAUUCAUAAAGGAGAUGCAGGGUUUAGAUAUUUCAAAUGAUGAUGAUGAAGUUUCAGUUUCAGUUGCUGUUAGUGCAAUCGAGAAGUUAUCUUGAAAUGGUUCGACUUCCAGGAGGGUAAUGAAGCUGUAACUCUACUUUUUGGCAUCGCUGCAACUACUGGACUAAGUUUGUUUGCAUUUACUGAGGUUGAAACAAUACUUGAGGUCUUGGGUUCUGCUGCAUUGGUGCAACUUGUCAGCAAGAAGCUACUAUAUGCAGAGGAUCGAAGGAGAACUUUAAAAGAAUUUGGUGACUUUGUGAGUGCAAAAAUCGGGCCCAAAGAGUUCCUAGAUGACGUUAAGGAUAUUGGGAAAGCAUAUAUGUGUUUUGAAAUGAAAUCUGCAAGUUGGACCAGUGGUAUUUAAUAUCUUACUUAGUGUGUAAGAAAGUUAAUGUGAAUAUGAUGAAAGCCAAUGGCUUAUAUCACACUCAAGGUGGUUCUAUUAUUCUAUUUCGGGUAAGAAGAAAAUAUCCCAAACGUCUGAUCGAAAUGGUUAUGAGAAGAAAUUCAGUGAAGAAUCGUUUGGAUUAUUAGAAAAUAAUACGCACGAGAAUCUUGAACAAGAACAUGAAGAAAAAGUAGCAAGUGCGGAAACGCAAGAUGAAGCGGAAAGCCAUAGCGAAUAAGAGAAGUUUUACGAUGUUUGUGAGGCGGAAACGAUUAAAAAAGCACAAAAGUAUGGUUAUAGCGGAGAAACGAAUGAUCCGUCUCAAAAAGCCAUCUGUCGUAGUACCAGAUGACAUAUCGUUGUCGACCGAAAGAUUAAAGAAACGCCUGCUCGAAGAAGGAAUUAGUGACGUACUUGUCAAGGAUUGUGAGCAGAUCAUGCUCUUGGAGUUUUCCGAUAUUCAAGAACAAAUUAAACUUCUUUGUGAAGAGCAUUCGAAUUUGCGGGACACUUUGAGACAGUUAGAGUUAAGAAGGAAAUAUCCCAAACGUCUGAUCGAAACGGCUAUGAGAAGAAAUUCAGUGAAGAAUCGUUUGGAUUAUUAGAAAAUAAUAAGCACGAGAAUCAUUUGGAUUAUCAGCAAGAGCCAAUGGCUUAUAUAACACGCGAGAUGAAGUGGAGAAACGAAUGAUCCGUCUUAAAAACAUGAAGAAAUUGAAUUCUAGGUGCCCAUGGGUAUAUCUAGAAUUAUUCCACUAACUGUCUUCAAAAAAAUGGUGGCUACAAUGGCUGUUGCCAUAGGUUAAAUGUCCCUAUGGAUUUAUCCACAAUUUAGGUAAAAAAUUUACUUAUCCAUUUCAAAGUGACCAACACUAUUCCUUUCAUCAUAAGCCCGAUUUUAAACCCUAGGCAAAGUGUGACCCAAGCGAGUCACUUUGGCUGCUAAUGUUAACAAGUCAGGCCCAACAUUAUUAUAUAACUACUACGAUGGCUAAAAAAUUAAACAAAAAUUAGAUCAACUAGAAACCCCAUUGAACAAAAAUUAAAUCAACUAUGAUUUUGUGUUAUAUUUUCAUAACUAAUGCUCAUCAAUUAAAAACCACUGUUGUUGAUACAGUGGUUGAUGCAUCUGUUAACUUUGGUCAACAGAUGGAUGAAAACAGAUGUUUGAAACCAUUGUUGGGUUAAAACACUGUUUUGUGGACAAAACAGUGGUUGCUUUUUUGCAAGCAGUGGUUUCUUUUUUGCAAACAGUGGUUUGACUUUGGUCAAACAGACUUUGGUCAAAACAGACUUUUGAACCACUAAGAAUCAUAGUUUUCAAACAGUGGUUUGAUUUUGGUCAAAUAGAUUUUUUUUAAACAGUGCUUUGACUUUGGUCAAACAGUGGUGAUAUAUAGUCGGCGUAUUGUUUGAUUAUAAUGAUGAAGGUGAAGUUUCAGAAGAAGAGUGUCUGAAACCGCUAAUCUUAAUGAAAUGCAAGUUUCAGUCGGGAACUACAAGAUUCCAAGAAAGGGCAAAAUGGUAAUUUCUGAAGACAAAGACGAUACAGCCGUAAAGCUAAGGUUCCUGGAAUGUUAAGUUUUAACUUUAUUUGAAUUAAAGGGUGUGAAUGUAAAAUUUGUCUAACAUGAGACCAUGGAGUUUGAUUUUAAGAAAUCAUUAAUGAAAUUGGUCAAUUUUAUUUGUAAGAAUUGGCUUUAACUUUAUUUGAAUUACUGGUACCGUAUAAUUCUCUUUCUUAUUGCAAGAAUUGGCUUGGAUCUAAAGUUAAUAAAAUGUGGUAUGCAUGGUUUUCUAAGAAACGAACCGUGUUUACACAAGGGUCUUACCGCUAGUUUAAUAAAAGAAACCAUUGGGGGACACAUGUCACUCAACGGCUUCACCACAAAUGGUUUAUAUCUCCUACAAAGUGGUGACACAUGUACACAAUAGGGCUUUAGAGAUUGCUUAACACGCUUUACACACGUUCUAUUCUAUUACUCCCAAACCCUAAUUCCAAAAUUAGGAGCACCCUCCAAUCUCUUCCGCGCCUUCAUACGUUCCUAAUCUAUCCAUAUAUUCAAGCCUAAUCAUCUUCGCAAGAUCUUAUAAUCUUCUCUAUCGCCGUCCAAGAGGUUCCUUAUUCUCGAUUUUUAGUCAAGAUACCACAGUGUGUGCAGCUCCAGGCUCAAAAACGUUUCAACUACUUGAAAUGAUACACCACGCACCGGAAGUGGGAUCUUUACCAAGUGGAAUGAUUUCGACACCGACACAGAUGGAAAAAGAUUUAUUUGGCAGGUUAGAGACUGAUCAUUGUUAAUAUUAAUGAGAACAUUGUAAAUCUGAAAGCAACCAUGGUUUCGUUUGGUGACGACUGUGUUAUUUGUCUACAAGUUACUGUUUGUGUCUUUAAUCCGCUUUUAAAGGGUAUCUGCAAACUUCCUUUUAUUGAUGAGGAUCGCCUUCUUUCUGCAACAAAUAAGAUCGAGAACGAACUAAGCGGAGAGGAAGCGAAAAGAAACAUGGAAAAUCUUGAUCAGUUAUUUGUACAUUCAUCAGAAAAUUUUGCUUCACGAAUAAUUUCUUCUUUCAAUGAUGUGGGCCUUAUCAAGCAGGAUGCGGUAAUAUAAGUGGUUUUGUCCAACUUAAGCUGGAUUCGGUGAACAAUCCUGAUGUUUUGUAAGAAAAUGCUUCAUGGAUCUUAGUCAGUUUCGUAAUUUAGAAUACAAUUGUGUUGUCCUUUUAAUGUUCAUUUCCAUUCGGCAGAUGUGUGUAUUAUGAGUUACCAUGCUUUUCUCCGCAUAUUCCACGUGUGCUCCCUGGGUCAUCCUUCCCUGAAACGUUGUGCCAUCUCUAGUUGUUUUUGUUUGGGUCACAAUAGAAUGAAAUAUCAGAUUAUGUCAUCCUGUGAAUAAAUAUUUUUUGAUCUAUUUAAUGGUGCCUUUAUCUUUAUUUUCAACUAAUAAUUAGUGUUCUAUCAUAAUUUUUUGUUAAUAGGAUGUGAGCGAGGCCGAUAUUGAAGAGUGGCAGCUAUGGCAUGAUAUGUAUGGUUACAAUAAUAGCCGAAACUACAGGUUUUUUCGUUGAACUUCUAUGGUAGCAUAUUUUCGUUCCAUCAACGCCUUUUGUGUUCACAUUUCUUCAAAAUUUUGGUCCACAAAUCUCACAACCGAAGUGAAGGAUCAGACGGAAACCCUAAUGCUGGUUUUAGGAAUUCUUCUCCCAAUGUUGUGAACAUAGGUGUUUCUGGAUUUUACGCGAAAUUGAUCCUGGGGUAUUGCAUUUUAGGUUCUAAAAUGUUACUGUUUCUGGAUGAUUUUGGUAUUAUUGUCUAGAUUGAUGAUUAGGAACUUGUGAUUUGUUUGGAGAUAACCUGAUUCAGACAUGAUUAUAUGCCGAAUUGAGUAAUAAACGCAAAUCUAGAGUAA